UUCAGUCCCAUCCGCUGCACAAACCAUCGCCAGCAUCAUCCUACCUUCAGUCAUGGUGCACAAGCAAAGAAACUUGCUUGAGACAAAUGUUCCAACAUGAUCAUGACUCAUGAGUUAAUAACAUGAGUGUGGAUUAGGUUCUCGUAUCAGAAUCAUUCUUGUACGAGCUGACCUGUACAUAUGGAAUCCAUCACAGAGUUGGUUGUUGAGUAGAUUCCAUCUGUGCGGAUGAGUCCCCUACAAGAAUGGUUCUCGUGUGAGGAUUUGAUCUACUCUUGACAUCAUUUUUUUUGCUAAGAAUAUAAAGGGAAGAGAACAACAAUUGCCCAAUGCAGUUGGUGAACUGUGAUGUGUAAAAAUCCUAUGCUCAGUUACCUACUUCCCUCCCUCCCUUAAAAAAAAAAAAAAAAUAAAUAAAUAAAUAAAAAUUCCAUUAUUAAAUACUGUUUAUUUUCGACCUGUAAAGUCUUUAAAUUGAGGGGAGGAAUUAUAUCAGUGCCAUCAACCGUAUCUUUGGGACCUGAGGAAUCAGACGAUGGGCUGCAAGGGAUCGAGUGAAAAAGCCCCUCUUCAACUUUCUGAGCCAGAUCCUCCUCCUGCACCCUCUUCGGCGAUUGCGUUUCAGACAGCUGAUAGAAGCAAACAAACCAACACGAUAUGGGAAAAUUCGAAAGUCACAAUAGAAAGCCGCGGCAGUAUUGAGUUUCAGAAGGCCACUAAUCAAAGUGAGCAGAUAAACAGCUUUUCUGGAUCUGCAGAGGUUCGAAUUAAGGGGCAAUAACCCAGUGGUGAUAUGUUGCAGAGAAUCUCCUUCUCUGUCGUGUGGAAGAAAGAAGUUUGGCGCUAAGAAUCUCUCUCUCUCACUCUCUAUCUCUAGAUCGGUUUAUCAGCAUUUCGCAUGGAAGCGAAUGGAUAUUCCACCGAGGAAAAAGAGAAACUUCCCUUCACCGUGUGUUUCUAAAUAUAGAGAGCUUCUGGUUUUAGGGUUUUGAUUCUUAAUGUACGAUUAAUCGGUGCUGGACACAUUAAGUUCACAUCCUCUGCAGCAAGCAAUGAGGUGUUCACCGAACAUUAAUACGCGCCAGUGAUUCCUGCACCAGCAUGGCCAGUAAGAUACAUAGGCAGUCUUUCCACCGGCCUCUAUUUAUGGUAGUAACCCUUUAACUGCCGGACGGUUCUUUUUCCCAAUAAAAACUGUUUUACUUUCUCCUGAAGGUGUCAAGGUACUAGAAGAUGGGCGGCAAGGGAUCGCAUGAAAAAGCUCCUUCUCAAGGUUCUGAACAAGAUGAUCCUCCUGCAUCUGCUCAGCCUGUCCCCCUCCUGGCUACUCCCUCUGUUCCCUCAAUUUCGUUUCAGAUGGCUGAUGGCAGCAAACAAACCAACACGAUGUCGGAAAAGUCCAAAAUCGUAAUAGUAAGUAGCGGCAAUAAAAAGUUUCAGGAAGCUACCAAUGGAAGUGAGCAGACGAACAGCAUGUCUGGAUCUUCAAUGGUUCAGAUUACAGAGCCACCACUAGCAGUUCUGCUGCCAGUGAAGAAAACUGAUUACAACAAAUGAACCUCCUUUUGCAGAAGACAAGCGUUGUGCUAGAUCGUUCUCUCCACCACCGCUGCAACCUAUCCCAUCACCCGUUUUCAAGCCCACUCCUCUGCAAACCCACGCCACCUCCUCUGUUUUCCUGCAACUCCCAUAUGGAUAAAUGAAUAGAAUUCUCAGAAUCAAUCGCCUUUUCCUAUUUUGGGCUUUCCCUUUAACUAAUGUAAAUCUCUGUUUGUUUGAAUCUGAUUUUCAAUAGCUUAAUCUCUGAUAGUAGGAUUCAUAGUGCAGAAAUAUAUGGGUUUUGGUCGUUUUUGGGAUUA